GGAAGUUAAGAAACUGUUUCUUAACUUUUAACUAAAAAAGCUAAGAACCGGUUCUUAAAUAAGGACUUUAAGAAUCAGUUCUUUUUAUUUAAGAACCGGUUCUUAGUUUUUUAGUUAAAAGUUAAGAAACAGCUUCUUAACUUUC
rfam:Brassica napus, WGS project CCCW01000000 data, contig: 2487